UACUCCCGCAAUUAGCGUCAAAACCUGGAAGCAGUACUGUGUAUCAGACUUAAAUGACCUACAUAAGUUCCAUAAGCAACCCAACUUGAAAAAUUAAAAGGGAAUUUUUAAAUAGAUGAAAUAAAUUAAAGGCCGUUCUCAAUCAUAACUGCUCACAAUGUAUAUCAAUGUAUGUUUAAUAUGAAAUAUAUUUGUUCACCCAUGGAAAGGCAUAACCUUUAUGAAUAUGCUAGCUAUACACAUCAAUGAACUACCACCAAAUUCACAUCUAAAAAUGCAUAUUUGUGUAAGAAAACAUCAAACUCAGAUGCCUGCAUACAGUCUUCAAGAAUUUAAGAGGAAAACAGAACAGUUUAUUUACAACAAAAAUUCGUCAGUUCUUAUAUUUUUCAAAAUGAAAUCAAUAUAAGGUGCAAAAAGGGGGUUGUAAUUGUAGUACACAGG
rnacentral:misc_RNA from 1 species